UACGUAGGGUGCGAGCGUUAAUCGGAAUUACUGGGCGUAAAGGGUGCGCAGGCGGUUAUAUAAGACAGAUGUGAAAUCCCCGGGCUCAACCUGGGAACUGCGUUUGUGACUGUAUGACUAGAGUACGGUAGAGAGGGGUGGAAUUCCACGUGUAGCGGUGAAAUGCGUAGAGAUGUGGAAGAACACCAGUGGCGAAGGCGACUCUUUGGCCUGUAACUGACACUGAGGCGCGAAAGCGUGGGGAGCGAACAGG
rnacentral:rRNA from 1 species